rnacentral:rRNA from 1 species
AUUGAACGCUGGCGGCAUGCUCUACACAUGCAAGUCGAACGGUAACAGGCCGCAAGGUGCUGACGAGUGGCGAACGGGUGAGUAAUGCAUCGGAACGUGCCCAGUCGUGGGGGAUAACGCAGCGAAAGCUGUGCUAAUACCGCAUACGAUCUAUGGAUGAAAGCGGGGGACCGUAAGGCCUCGCGCGAUUGGAGCGGCCGAUGUCAGAUUAGGUAGUUGGUGGGGUAAAGGCUCACCAAGCCAACGAUCUGUAGCUGGUCUGAGAGGACGACCAGCCAAACUGGGACUGAGACACGGCCCAGACUCCUACGGGAGGCAGCAGUGGGGAAUUUUGGACAAUGGGCGCAAGCCUGAUCCAGCAAUGCCGCGUGCAGGAAGAAGGCCUUCGGGUUGUAAACUGCUUUUGUACGGAACGAAAAGGUUUGGGUUAAUACCCUGGGCCGAUGACGGUACCGUAAGAAUAAGCACCGGCUAACUACGUGCCAGCCGCCGCUGUAA